CAGUCGCCACGGUAAUACGGAGGGAGCUAGCGUUGUUCGGAAUUACUGGGCGUAAAGCGCGCGUAGGCGGUUACUCAAGUCAGAGGUGAAAGCCCGGGGCUCAACCCCGGAACUGCCUUUGAAACUAGGUGACUAGAAUCUUGGAGAGGUCAGUGGAAUUCCGAGUGUAGAGGUGAAAUUCAUAGAUAUUCGGAAGAACACCAGUGGCGAAGGCGACUGACUGGACAAGUAUUGACGCUGAGGUGCGAAAGCGUGGGGAGCAAACAGGAUUAGAUACCCCCGUAGUCCCUGUCUCUUAUAC
rnacentral:rRNA from 1 species